AUUGAAGUGAUGAAUAUUUCCCCAGAUGAUCGAAGCUGAAAUUACUGAGCGCUUUAUAUGUAUCUUCUUUUAGGGGAAGAUCCAAGCCAGAUAUUCUGAUCUGU